CAGUCGCCACGGGAAUACGAAGGGGGCUAGCGUUGCUCGGAAUCACUGGGCGUAAAGGGUGCGUAGGCGGGUUUUUAAGUCAGAGGUGAAAUCCUGGAGCUCAACUCCAGAACUGCCUUUGAUACUGAAAGUCUUGAGUUCGGGAGAGGUGAGUGGAACUGCGAGUGUAGAGGUGAAAUUCGUAGAUAUUCGCAAGAACACCAGUGGCGAAGGCGGCUCACUGGCCCGAUACUGACGCUGAGGCACGAAAGCGUGGGGAGCAAACAGGAUUAGAGACCCGCGUAGUCCCUGUCUCUUAUAC
rnacentral:rRNA from 1 species